rnacentral:lncRNA from 1 species
GGUUUAUAAUUUUAUACGUACAUACGAGGGUAUUCUGGAUACAAAGUCUAUUUAAUUAAAUAAAGUUUUAAAAGAAACAGAAAAGGGAGUGUGUGCAUAUAAAAAAGGCAGUGGAACGGGGUGUAUAUAGUAGGAGCUACCACGUUUGAAAUGUCUAGAAAAUUUUUUAUUCAACCCAAUAAGUUGGGCCGUGUUACAUGCCAUCACACGUGAAAAACAAAACAUUUUUUGUUUUCUAUUUGUCUCCUCCUUCAACUUCUGGUUGUGGAAAAUUUGCACCUCCCGACAAUGAGAAUUGACGCACACUAACAUUCCAUAACUCAUUUCCCUUUCAUGAACACUAACUAACUAUUGCAGGAAGAAAACCGAGACUGGAAUAUACGUGGCACAAGGAAGAUAACAGUUUCUAAAUAAUACACAUUCACAUCAACAAACACAAAAAUUCAAAUUCAAGGUGGACUGUUUUGACCUUAAGCACAGAAUUUUCAGCAACUUCAUGUUAUUCAACCACAAUAGCAGUACCCUACUUUGACCUACAAUGAGAUACAAAUGGAAGGAAUGAGGUGCAGUGACAAGGGUGUCAAGCAUUUUAAACUCCAGUCAAAAUUGAAACCUAAAAGUUGAUAGGUAUAAUUUUAGGAAUAUAAGAAAGAUUAGGAUGCAGAAAGAAGCAAUGAGUUAUACACACUCAACUAUUUAAUUUGAAAUUCCUCUAAUUUUUAGGCAAAGUUCAUUAUUCGUCAAUUUUCUAAUAAAAAACACUAAUUUAAUGAGUCAACUGAUGCUGUUUUCUUAAACCAGCUAAUGGAAAAAUUUAGGUAAGAUAUCCCAUGUUAAGAAAUUUUGAACCAAUGUAUGGAAUCUUUAUAAUGUUACAGUUUCCAAAUUUGUGUGCCAACAUAAUUGACAAUUAAAUAUUUUUACAAAGUAUUAAUUGGUCAUUAAUUUAAUUAAAUGUGAAAAUCUGAGUGACCUAACCUCUUUUUUGUAGAUGUAGUUCGUGGAGCCUGACAAUAUAGACAUAAUUAUCCUGUGAGUAUUAGUGUGAUUCUCUCUAUCUUCAUAACAUGAUAAAAUUUCUAACUUUUUACCAUUAUAGGUAGUUUGUUAUAGUCAUAAACAAAACAUGGAUUUAAUAUUGAAGGAAAAAAAAUGGAAAGAACAUGACCAGACCUGCAUUGAACUCGUUAGCCAUCAAAUUAAUCUGUAGAUAGAUCAAAAUAAUCCUAAUAUAAUCAAUCACUUUCAUGAAAAAGUUGAUAAAUAGUUUCUCUGAAGAAUUCUGGAUGAAUAAAGCGGUAUAGGAUAUAUACAAGAAAAAAAAAAUAAUGUACCGACAACCUGAAGGAGAAUUAACAGGCAAACCUUAUUCUUCUUGAAAAGAUUUUUUUGCGAAUGAAAAUUAAAAUUCUCCAGCAGGAGAAAACCGCCAAAGUUGACCCAGCCAGCAGCAUAAACCUUCCUUGUCUGGAAAAUUAGGGAGAACAGGAAAACGAAACGGCGUCGUGGACGCUGGUUGUCAGCGCACACAGGAAUCAAACUUGAAACAGUAUACACGGUUUGGUGUUUGGAAGAAUGUGAGAAGCAAAAGAAAAUUGAAUAAGGAAUGGCUAGGUGGCAGAAGGCACGUGGGUGUGGGCCCGAGGAAGUGGCGCGUGAAUCGCAGACGGAUGAAAUGGGAUUAGAAGUUAUGGAGUUGUUGAAUGAAUGAUGAGUGUUGAUAGGAGAGAGAAAGGAAGAUCAAAUGAAGUGAGGAUGACCACAUCUAAAUCCACAUGGCGGGUUCUCGACCCGGUGAUUCAAAUCGG